rnacentral:rRNA from 1 species
AUUGAACGCUGGCGGCAGGCUUAACACAUGCAAGUCGAGCGGGGUGAUGGUGCUUGCACUAUCACUUAGCGGCGGACGGGUGAGUAAUGCUUAGGAAUCUGCCUAUUAGUGGGGGACAACAUCUCGAAAGGGAUGCUAAUACCGCAUACGUCCUACGGGAGAAAGCAGGGGAUCACUUGUGACCUUGCGCUAAUAGAUGAGCCUAAGUCGGAUUAGCUAGUUGGUGGGGUAAAGGCCUACCAAGGCGACGAUCUGUAGCGGGUCUGAGAGGAUGAUCCGCCACACUGGGACUGAGACACGGCCCAGACUACUACGGGAGGCAGCAGUGGGGAAUAUUGGACAGUGGGGGGAACCCUGAUCCAGCCAUGCCGCGUGUGUGAAGAAGGCCUUAUGGUUGUAAAGCACUUUAAGCGAGGAGGAGGCUCUUUUGGUUAAUACCCAGAAUGAGUGGACGUUACUCGCAGAAUAAGCACCGGCUAACUCUGUGCCAGCAGCCGCGGUAA